rnacentral:lncRNA from 1 species
UGGCCAUGAGUGACACUCACACUCAUCUUCCUGUGGGAGAACCAUCUAAAUCAAACUAUUACCCAAUCACUAAGUCAAUAUUAAAUUGAUAUUUUCAUAAAACCAUCUUAACAAUAAUAAUCUGGAGUUAAUCAUGAGUAAUGUGGAAAUCAAACUAUCUACUUACAGAAAUUUCCAAGAUCCGAAAGUCAUCGUACAAGAACUAUAACAUAGAUCAUGUCUAAGGAGAUAUCCAAAAAUAAAGUAAAUAAAGAAUGUUUCAUUGCCCGAAAGAUGAACAAUAACAAAUAAGAUGACCCAUGGAAGCCUGGAGACGGAGUGCUCACCCUUGGAUCAAGAUCUGCUAUCAAACUAUAGAGGUGAGAUCAUGUAUGAGCCUCUAGAACAUUUUCUGCACUCAACAAAAGAAGAGUACAGAGUAGUAUCAGUACAAACCACUAUGUACUGGUAGGUAUCAUAGGCUAACUCAACUUAAUAACAUGUACACAACAUAAAUCAAAUAACAAGUAGACAGGCAUAAUCACAUAACAAAUUACCAAUGAAUCAACAAUACAGCAAUAGCAGGUCAACAGUGUUCACAAACAAGCCACAUAACUAUCAAGAGUAUCAAUCAUACUGUAAACAUCCACCAACUCAACACAAGUAUGUAAACAUGUUAUGGGACUUAUUUUUGCCUAAAUAGUCAUGACCUGCAAGGAACAAUCUAUGUUCAUGUACCGUACCGACGUGGUACCCGAUCCAACAUAAAUAUAAACGUACCGGCGUGGUACCCGAUCCAACAUAAAUAUAACGUACCUGCGUAGUACCCGAUCCAACAUAAAUAUAAACGUACCGGCGUGGUACCCGAUCCAACAUGAAUAUAAAUGUACCAGCGUGGUACUCGAUCCAACAUAAAUAUAAACGUACUGGGGUGGUAUCCGAUCCAGCAUAAAUAUAAACGUACCGGCAUGGUACCCAAUCCAACAUAGAUAUAAAUGUACCGGCGUGGUACCCGAUCCAACAUAAAUAUAAACAAGUAUUAUCAAUAUCAAUUUACAUAACCUCACAGCAUACAAUACAAUGUACCAAGUCUACAAGUACACUUAAAGUCAUAAGACAAUUCCAUCAAGUCAAUUUUCAAUAAACAUUUAUACACGAAUCAACAAUCCAAACAUCAAUAAUUUCAAGCAUGUAUGAAUACCAAUCCACAAGUAUCCAAUUUAGGAGCAUACACACAAUUAAGUCGAGUCUAAACUCCAAUUAAACCGUAACCUACCUCAACCAAAGAAUCUGAAUGUCACUAGUGCACAGUACCUUGUCCUUUCUCAAAAUUUUGAAACAUUCACAAUCUGUUCAAAUAUAUAAUCCUUAUAAGAAUACGAAUCUAGUAAAAACCCUACUAUUAUGAUUAUUUUUAAUUUAAUUAGGGUUCACUUAAUAACUGAAGUGAACCAUCGAAAUAAUGGCUGCCCAAAUCAAGAAUUACAUAACUGUUUCUUGGCCUAACUUAAACCUCACAUUAUUAUAUUUUAUAUUUUCCAAGACAAUUUCUUAAUGAGAACAAAAACCAAAAUUCCUUAACUUAUUUCAAAUUGUAGUAUAAACAAGAUUCUCCAUAAUGCUACUGUGAGUCAUGAUUUUCAUAGCUUUAGUGGAAAUAAAACUAUUUUCCUAUAUUAUUUGUCAUCAUUACCCCAUUAUUGGUUUUUCUUUCAAUUAACAUCAAAACUUGCACCCAAAACAUUCAGAAAGAUUGAUUACUAAGGCACUGUUUACCUUAUCCUAAAAAACACCAAACAUGCACAGCAUUACUAUCUAUAUAUAUCUUUGACACAUGCAUAUUGCUUACAUAAUUAGACCUUACCCGAAGUCCGUGUCCUCGGACGCUGCAACGAAUUCCGCCUCUCAUUUUC